rnacentral:rRNA from 1 species
GACGAACGCUGGCGGCGUGCCUAAUGCAUGCAAGUCGCACGCGGCACCUUCGGUUUCUGAGUGGCGAACGGCUGAGGAACACUUGGUGACCUGUCCGUUAGUGGGGGACAACACCGCGAAAGCUUUGCUAAUCCCGCAUACGCUCUGGGGAGGAAAUCCUAAAGGCGGUCCCGGGUGGCCCUGCGUCCCAUCAGGUGGUUGGUGUGGUAACUUCCUACCAAGCCAAUGACGGGUCGCUGGUCUGUGAGUACGACCAGCCAGACUGGGACUGGGACACGGCCCAGACUCGUACGGGAGGAAGCAGCAAGGAAGUUUCGGCAACGGGCGCAAGACUGACCGAGCAACGCCGCGUGAAGGAAGACGGCCUUCGGGUUGUAAACUGCCUUUGCUAGGGGUGAUAACAGACAGUAACUGGUGAAUAAGCCCCGGCUAACUACGUG